rnacentral:rRNA from 1 species
UACGGGGGGGGCAAGCGUUGUUCGGAAUUACUGGGCGUAAAGGGCCCGUAGGCGGCCAACUAAGUCAGACGUGAAAUCCCCAGGCUCAACCUGGGAACUGCGUCUGAUACUGGAUGGCUUGAAUCCGGGAGAGGGAUGCAGAAUUCCAGGUGUAGCGGUGAAAUGCGUAGAUAUCUGGAGGAAUACCGGUGGCGAAGGCGGCAUCCUGGACCGGCAUUGACGCUGAGGAGCGAAAGCCAGGGGAGCAAACGGG